UACGAAGGGUGCAAGCGUUAAUCGGAAUUACUGGGCGUAAAGGGUGCGUAGGCGGUUAUUUAAGUCUGCCGUGAAAUCCCCGGGCUCAACCUGGGAAUGGCGGUGGAUACUGGAUAGCUAGAGUGUGUCAGAGGAUGGUGGAAUUCCCGGUGUAGCGGUGAAAUGCGUAGAGAUCGGGAGGAACACCAGUGGCGAAGGCGACUACCUGGCCUGUUCUUGACGCUGAGGCGCGAAAGCUAGGGGAGCAAACGGG
rnacentral:rRNA from 1 species